rnacentral:rRNA from 1 species
GACGGCCUACGGGGGGCAGCAGUGGGGAAUAUUGCACAAUGGGGGGAACCCUGAUGCAGAGACGCCGAGGGAGUGAAGAAGUAUUUCGGUACGUAAAGCUCUAUCAGCAGGGAAGAAAAAAGGACGGUACCUGAGUAAGAAGCCCCGGCUAACUACGUGCCAGCAGCCGCGGUAAUACGUAGGGGGCAAGCGUUAUCCGGAAUUACUGGGUGUAAAGGGAGCGUAGACGGCAAUGCAAGUCCGGCGUGGAAUGCGGCAGCUCAACUGCCGAACUGCUCUGGAAACUGUAUGGCUUGAGUUCAGGG